UUUUAUCACCCACCGCUCGGGUGGGACGUUACCCCUGGACUCUACCCCCAUAGCUUCAAGAUUCCCGGGUACAGCUGGCGUCGGCAAUGUUUGACAUAUGGCCUGGGACUCGUGAGCCUGACGGAGCUCCUCGCCAACUAAGCCACAAAACGCUGUCAGACUCGUUAGGAAGACUCCCUUCGCCACAUAAGAAAAAUUACACAAUUGUUAAAGGAAAGUAUAGUGUGGCGAGACUCCAGCAGCCCACCACCGUUCUCGCCAGUCACUUCCUCGCUACACAGCGCUCCUAUAGUCACUCGUCCUCCCUCCUGUGUACUUCGUAGUCAUUGUCUUUGUUCAGGGAAUAACUCACUUCCUUUAAGUUUGUAAUUAUUAUUUACUGACGCUGACGUUAAAUGAACAUUCUCUCCUUUC